UACGUAGGGUGCAAGCGUUGUCCGGAAUUAUUGGGCGUAAAGAGCUUGUAGGCGGUUUGUCGCGUCUGCUGUGAAAUUUCGGGGCUCAACCCCGAACUUGCAGUGGGUACGGGCAGACUAGAGUGUGGUAGGGGAGACUGGAAUUCCUGGUGUAGCGGUGAAAUGGGCAGAUAUAGGGAGGAACACCAGUGGCGAAGGCGGCCGACUGGGCCGAUCCUGACGCUGAGACCCGAAAGCCAGGGUAGCGAACGGG
rnacentral:rRNA from 1 species